rnacentral:rRNA from 1 species
UGGGGAAUAUUGCACAAUGGGCGAAAGCCUGAUGCAGCAACGCCGCGUGGAGGAUGAAGGCCUUCGGGUUGUAAACUCUUGUCUUCUGGGACGAUAAUGACGGUACCAGAGGAGGAAGCCACGGCUAACUACGUGCCAGCAGCCGCGGUAAUACGUAGGUGGCAAGCGUUGUCCGGAUUUACUGGGCGUAAAGGAUGCGUAGGCGGAUAUUUAAGUGGGAUGUGAAAUACCCGGGCUCAACCUGGGUGCUGCAUUCCAAACUGGAUAUCUGGAGUGCGGGAGAGGAAAGUGGAAUUCCAAGUGUAGCGGUGAAAUGCGUAGAGAUGAGGAAGAACACCAGUGGCGAAGG